rnacentral:rRNA from 1 species
GAUGAACGCUGGCGGCGUGCUUAACACAUGCAAGUCGAACGGGAAGUGGAGACGGAAACCUUCGGGCGGAAGACUUUAUUUGGAGUGGCGGCGGGGUGAGUAACGCGUGGGUAACCUGCCUCAUUCAGGGGGAUAACAGUUGGAAACGACUGUUAAUACCGCAUAAGACCACAGCACCGAAAGGUGCGGCGGUAAAGACUGCGGUGGCAUGUGAUGGAGCCGCGGUCGAUUUGCCGGCUGGCCGGGUAACUGCCCACCAAAGCGACGAUCGAUAGCCGAUAUGAGAGGAUGACCGGCGACAUUGGGACUAAGACACGGCCCAAACUCCUACGGGAGGCAGCAGUGGGGAAUACUGCACGAUGGAGGAAACGCUGAUGAAGCGACGCCGGGUGAGUGAAGAAGUAGUUCGGUAUGUAAAGCUCUAUCAGCAGGGACGAAAAUGACGGUACCUGAGGAAGAAGCACCGGCUAACUACGUG